CCUACGGGUGGCAGCAGUGGGGAAUAUUGCACAAUGGGGGAAACCCUGAUGCAGCGACGCCGCGUGAGUGAAGAAGUAUUUCGGUAUGUAAAGCUCUGUCAGCAGGGAAGAAAAUGACGGCACUUGACCAAGAAGCCCCGGCUAACUACGUGACAGCAGCCGCGGUAAUACGUAGGGGGCAAGCGUUAUUCGGCUUUACUGGGUGGAAAGGGAGCGGAGACGGCAGGGCAAGUCUGGAGUGAAAGGGGGGGGCUCAACCCCCGGACGGCUCUGGAAACUGCGAGGUUGGAGUGCAGGAGAGGUAGGUGGAAUUCCUAGUGUAGCGGUGAAAUGCGUAGAUAUUAGGAGGAACACCAGUGGCGAAGGCGGCUUACUGGACUGUAACUGACGUUGAGGCUCGAAAGCGUGGGGAGCAAACAGGAUUAGAUACCCGGGUAGUC
rnacentral:rRNA from 1 species